AUAAGAAUCACCUCAUUUUUAAUAUCUAUCAUGCCAAAGAUAUUUAUGAGACGAAGUUAGACACUAACAUCGAAGAUUUAGCCGGCCAACAAUACAAACUGUAUUAUCGCCAUAAGAUAUGGGAUAGGAAUGAGGAUAAAGGUAUUUCCUUGACCCUCACUAGCACAACCCCUUGGGAAAACUUGAAAGAUUUGGAUAUGUUAGUAGAUGUCACGGUUCAGGGUUCUAUUUUACUUGGGAAAUUAAAGAUGACCCACAAUAAUCACAAACUAAUUGGCACUCUAGGCGGCACGUACAAUCCCGACAAGGCUAUUAUUGCUAACGUAAAUGCCACAAGCACUAUCGAUAAUUUUACAGUCGUUCGUUUAUCCAUAAGAAGCGAGAAGGUUAAAAGUCAAUGGCUUCAUAAUU